AUGAUCGGGAUAACAGUUGGAAACGGCUGCUAAUACCGGAUACGCUCAAAAUGAACUUUUUGAGGAAAGAUGGCCUCUGCUUGCAUGCUAUCGCGUAAGGAUGAGUCCGCGUCCCAUUAGCUUGUUGGCGGGGUAACGGCCCACCAAGGCAACGAUGGGUAGCCGAUUUGAGAGUGAUGAUCGGCCACACUGGAACUGAAACACGGUCCAGACUCCUACGGGAGGCAGCAGUGGGGAAUAUUGCGCAAUGGGCGAAAGCCUGACGCAGCGACGCCGCGUGAGGGAUGAAGGUUUUCGGAUCGUUAAAACCUCUGUCAGAAGGGAAGAACCUACCAUUUGUGCUAAUCAGCAGUUGUACUUGACGGUUACCCUUCAAAAGGAAAGCACCGGCUA
rnacentral:rRNA from 1 species